CCUACGGGAGGCUGCAGUGAGGAAUAUUGGUCAAUGGACGAGAGUCUGAACCAGCCAAGUAGCGUGAAGGAUGACUGCCCUAUGGGUUGUAACCUUCUUUUAUAUGGGAAUAAAAUGUUCCAGUUGUGGGUUUUUGUAUGUACCAUAUGAAUAAGGAUCGGCUAACUCCGUGCCAGCAGCCGCGGUCAUACGGAGGAUCCGAGCGUUAUCCGGAUUUAUUGGGUUUAAAGGGAGCGUAGGUUGAUUAUUAAGUCAGUUGUGAAAGUUUGCGGCUCAACCGUAGGAUUGCAGUUGAAACUGGCAUUCUUGAGUACAGGAGAGGUGGGCGGAAUUCGUGGUGUAGCGGUGAAAUGCGUAGAUAUCACGAAGAACUCCGAUUGCGAAGGCAGCUCACUGGACAGCAACUGACACUGAGGCUCGAAAGCGUGGGUAGCAAACAGGAUUAGAUACCCGAGUAGUC
rnacentral:rRNA from 1 species